CCUACGGGAGGCAGCAGUGAGGAAUAUUGGUCAAUGGUCGGGAGCCUGAACCAGCCAAGUCGCGUGAGGGAAGAAGGUACUGUGUAUCGUAAACCUCUUUUGUCCGGGAGCAAAGACCGCCACGCGUGGCGUGCUGAGAGUACCCGAAGAAAAAGCAUCGGCUAACUCCGUGACAGCAGCCGCGGUAAUACGGAGGAUGCGAGCGUUAUCCGGAUUCAUUGGGUUUAAAGGGUGCGCAGGCGGAAGAUCAAGUCAGCGGUAAAAUGGAGGGGCUCAACCUCGUCGAGCCGUUGAAACUGGUUGUCUUGAGUGAGUGAGAAGUAUGCGGAAUGCGUGGUGUAGCGGUGAAAUGCAUAGAUAUCACGCAGAACUCCGAUUGCGAAGGCAGCAUGCCGGCGCUCAACUGACGCUCAGGCACGAAAGGGUGGGUAUCGAACAGGAUUAGAUACCCGGGUAGUC
rnacentral:rRNA from 1 species